GAUGAACGCUGGCGGCGUGCCUAAUACAUGCAAGUCGAGCGAACGGACGAGAAGCUUGCUUCUCUGAUGUUAGCGGCGGACGGGUGAGUAACACGUGGAUAACCUACCUAUAAGACUGGGAUAACUUCGGGAAACCGGAGCUAAUACCGGAUAAUAUUUUGAACCGCAUGGUUCAAAAGUGAAAGACGGUCUUGCUGUCACUUAUAGAUGGAUCCGCGCUGCAUUAGCUAGUUGGUAAGGUAACGGCUUACCAAGGCAACGAUGCAUAGCCGACCUGAGAGGGUGAUCGGCCACACGGGAACUGAGACACGGUCCAGACUCCUACGAGAGGCAGCAGUAGGGAAUCGGCCGCAAUGGGCGAAAGCCUGACGGAGCAACGCCGCGUGAGUGAUGAAGGUCUUCGGAGCGUAAAACUCUGUUAUUAGGGAAGAACAUAUGUGUAAGGAACUGUGCACAUCUUGACGGUACCUAAUCAGAAAGCCACGGCUAACUACGUG
rnacentral:rRNA from 1 species